AGCUUUGUGCAGUGGCGGUAUCAUAACCAAUGAGGUUUAUCUGAGGCACAAUUAUUACUAAUUGAGAAAUGCAUCAUUCAGCC
rnacentral:snRNA from 1 species